rnacentral:piRNA from 1 species
UGAAGUGACAGGGAUGCCUGAAAAUGUU